GUCUGUGUUUGAUGAGAAAUAUUUUGAAUCACUUAUCCCUGUCUGGUUUCCUUUGUAGAUGAGAUACUGAAAUCUGACACAGAC